CUAUGAUAAAGGCAAACCAUACGAAAGUAUGGGACGCAAAGUACAGAAUCUAAGGUAUAAAUCGAAGAGAUUUAUAUGAUGAUCGUCUGGCUGCCGUA
rnacentral:ncRNA from 1 species